UACGUAGGGUGCAAGCGUUAAUCGGAAUUACUGGGCGUAAAGCGUGCGCAGGCGGUUAUGCAAGACAGAUGUGAAAUUCCUGGGCUCAACCUGGGGGCUGCGUUUGAUACGUGCGGACUUGAGUUCGGAAGAGGGUCGUGGAAUUCCCAGUGUAGAGGUGAAAUUCGUAGAUAUUGGGAAGAACACCGGUGGCGAAGGCGGCGACCUGGUCCGAUACUGACGCUGAGGCGCGAAAGCGUGGGGAGCAAACAGG
rnacentral:rRNA from 1 species